rnacentral:rRNA from 1 species
AAUGAACGUUGGCGGCGUGGAUUAGGCAUGCAAGUCGUGCGGAAAGGCUCCUUCGGGAGUACUCGAGCGGCGAAAGGGAGAGUAACGCGUGGAUAUCUACCCCCUGGACCGGGAUAGCGGCGGGAAACUGCCGGUAAUACCGGAUAACGUCUGCGGACCAAAGGUGUGAUUCCGCCGGGGGAUGAGUUCGCGUCCUAUUAGCUAGUUGGUAGGGUAACGGCCUACCAAGGCGAAGAUGGGUACCGGGUGUGAGAGCAUGGCCCGGCUCACUGGGACUGAGACACUGCCCAGACACCUACGGGUGGCUGCAGUCGAGAAUCUUCGGCAAUGGGCGCAAGCCUGACCGAGCGACGCCGCGUGCGGGAUGAAGGCCUUCGGGUUGUAAACCGCUGUCAGAGGGGAGGAAAUGCGUGGGAGUUCUCUUUCACGUGACCUAUCCUCAGAGGAAGUACGGGCUAAGUUCGUGCCAGCCGCCGCAGUAA